CAGUAGCCGCGGUAAUACGAAGGGUGCAAGCGUUGUUCGGAAUUACUGGGCGUAAAGCGCACGUAGGCGGCUUUGUAAGUUAGAGGUGAAAGCCUGGGGCUCAACUCCAGAAUUGCCUUUAAGACUGCAUCGCUUGAACGUCGGAGAGGUGAGUGGAAUUCCGAGUGUAGAGGUGAAAUUCGUAGAUAUUCGGAAGAACACCAGUGGCGAAGGCGGCUCACUGGACGACUGUUGACGCUGAGGUGCAAAAGCGUGGGGAGCAAACAGGAUUAGAUACCCGAGUAGUCCCUGUCUCUUAUAC
rnacentral:rRNA from 1 species